UACGGAGGAUGCGAGCGUUAUCCGGAUUUAUUGGGUUUAAAGGGUGCGUAGGCGGACUGUCAAGUCAGCGGUAAAAUUGAGAGGCUCAACCUCUUCCCGCCGUUGAAACUGGUGGUCUUGAGUGGAUGAGAAGUACGCGGAAUGCGUGGUGCAGCGGUGAAAUGCAUAGAUAUCACGCAGAACUCCGAUUGCGAAGGCAGCGUACCGGCAUCCAACUGACGCUGAGGCACGAAAGCGUGGGGAGCAAACAGG
rnacentral:rRNA from 1 species